rnacentral:rRNA from 1 species
UUCCAGACUCCUACGGGAGGCAGCAGUGGGGGAUAUUGCACAAUGGGGGAAACCCUGAUGCAGCGACGCCGCGUGGGUGAAGAAGCGCCUCGGCGCGUAAAGCCCUGUCAGCAGGGAAGAAAAUGACGGUACCUGAAGAAGAAGCCCCGGCUAACUACGUGCCAGCAGCCGCGGUAAUACGUAGGUGGCAAGCGUUGUCCGGAAUUACUGGGUGUAAAGGGAGCGUAGGCGGGAGGAUAAGUUGGACGUAUAAACUAUCGGCUCAACCGGUAGAGGCGUUCAAAACUGUCCUUCUUGAGUGAAGUAGAGGGAAGCGGAAUUCCUAGUGUAGCGGUGAAAUGCGUAAAUAUUAGGAGGAACACCAGUGGCGAAGGCGGCUUACUGGGCUUUAACUGACGCUGAGGCUCGAAAGCGUGGGGAGCAAACAGGAUUAGAUACCCUCGUAGCA